UACGAAGGGUGCAAACGUUGCUCGGAAUUAUUGGGCGUAAAGCGCACGUAGGCGGCUUUGCAAGUCGGAUGUGAAAUCCCUCGGCUUAACCAAGGAAGUGCAUCCGAAACUGCAGAGCUUGAGUACUUAAGAGGAUCGCGGAAUUCCCGGUGUAGAGGUGAAAUGCGCAGAUAUCGGGAGGAACACCGGUGGCGAAGGCGGAUCUCUGGGCCUGUCCUGACGCUCAGGCGCGAAAGCUAGGGGAGCGAACAGG
rnacentral:rRNA from 1 species